GACGAACCGUGCGAACGUUUUUCGGAAUCUCUGGGCUUAAAGGGCGCGUAGGCGGGCGGUCAAGUUUGUGGUGAAAUCCUUCGGCUCAACCGGAGAAUAGCUGGAGAUACUGGCCGUCUCGAGGGGGGUAGGGGCAUGUGGAACUUCCGGUGGAGCGGUGAAAUGCGUAGAUAUCGGAAGGAACGCCGGUGGCGAAAGCGACGUGCUGGACCCUUUCUGACGCUGAGGCGCGAAAGCCAGGGGAGCAAACGGG
rnacentral:rRNA from 1 species